UGGCUCAGAUUGAACGCUGGCGGCAUGCCUUACACAUGCAAGUCGAACGGCAGCGGACCUUCGGGUGCCGGCGAGUGGCGAACGGGUGAGUAAUAUAUCGGAACGUACCUUCAGUGGGGGAUAACGUAGCGAAAGUUACGCUAAUACCGCAUAUUCUGUGAGCAGGAAAGCAGGGGAUCGCAAGACCUUGCGCUGAUUGAGCGGCCGAUAUCAGAUUAGCUAGUUGGUGAGGUAAAGGCUCACCAAGGCGACGAUCUGUAGCGGGUCUGAGAGGAUGAUCCGCCACACUGGAACUGAGACACGGUCCAGACUCCUACGGGAGGCAGCAGUGGGGAAUUUUGGACAAUGGGCGCAAGCCUGAUCCAGCCAUGCCGCGUGAGUGAAGAAGGCCUUCGGGUUGUAAAGCUCUUUCGGCCGGGAAGAAAUCGCACAGGUUAAUACCCUGUGUGGAUGACGGUACCGGAAUAAGAAGCACCGGCUAACUACGUG
rnacentral:rRNA from 1 species